ACGAGCGGCCAAGAUUAAAUCUAAUUCAACUCCCCAAAUUAAACACCGUUACAUCUUUCUCUCUCAUUCCCCAAAAAAGUCCCAGUCUCUCUCUCUACCUCCGGAAAAAAGGAUUUCAAGUCUCAAGUUCUAGAAAAUUCGUCCGAAUAUUAAGGUGCUACAGUAAACCAUGAUACUGGUGAUGCAAUAGUUGUAGAAAACCACAACACGAGAAAUGAUGAUGUGUUAGAAAACCACAACACGAGCAAUGAUGCUAUGUUGGAAAACCAAAACACGAGCAAUGAUGUUGUGUUAGAAAAUGAAAACACGGGCAAUGUGCUGUGUUAGAAAACCACAACACAGGCGACGAUGAUGUGUUAGAAAACCUAAUACAACCAGUAAUCCAUGCACCUAGAGAGUCAAUUGAGAAGAACACUGAAAAUGUAGAGGAGGAGAUGCCCGAGCUUGCAGGAGAUGCCCAAGGCAAUGAGACUGAUGAUCCGAAGGAACAACAUAGACGUAAGCGUAGUUUGAUGGAGGCUAAUGGCACUAGUCAUACAUUUGAAUGUGAUGAUUUAAGUUGACUUUUAAAUUAGUCCCAUUUACUUUUCUAAGUUAUUUAUUUACUUUUCUAAGUUAUUUAUUUACUUUUCUAAGUUAUUUAUCUACUUUUGAAAAUGUAAUGCAACUUGAGAUUUUGUUUAUAAGAUUUACUUCUAAAUUA